rnacentral:rRNA from 1 species
GGCUGCAGUGGGUACGGCAGACUAGAGUGCGGUAGGGGAGAUUGGAAUUCCUGGUGUAGCGGUGGAAUGCGCAGAUAUCAGGAGGAACACCGAUGGCGAAGGCAGAUCUCUGGGCCGUAACUGACGCUGAGGAGCGAAAGGGUGGGGAGCAAACAGGCUUAGAUACCCUGGUAGUCCACCCCGUAAACGUUGGGAACUAGUUGUGGGGACCAUUCCACGGUUUCCGUGACGCAGCUAACGCAUUAAGUUCCCCGCCUGGGGAGUACGGCCGCAAGGCUAAAACUCAAAGGAAUUGACGGGGACCCGCACAAGCGGCGGAGCAUGCGGAUUAAUUCGAUGCAACGCGAAGAACCUUACCAAGGCUUGACAUAUACGAGAACGGGCCAGAAAUGGUCAACUCUUUGGACACUCGUAAACAGGUGGUGCAUGGUUGUCGUCAGCUCGUGUCGUGAGAUGUUGGGUUAAGUCCCGCAACGAGCGCAACCCUCGUUCUAUGUUGCCAGCACGUAAUGGUGGGAACUCAUGGGAUACUGCCGGGGUCAACUCGGAGGAAGGUGGGGAUGACGUCAAAUCAUCAUGCCCCUUAUGUCUUGGGCUUCACGCAUGCUACAAUGGCCGGUACAAAGGGCUGCAAUACCGUGAGGUGGAGCGAAUCCCAAAAAGCCGGUCCCAGUUCGGAUUGAGGUCUGCAACUCGACCUCAUGAAGUCGGAGUCGCUAGUAAUCGCAGAUCAGCAACGCUGCGGUGAAUACGUUCCCGGGUCUUGUACACACCGCCCGUCAAGUCAUGAAAGUCGGUAACAA